UCCAACUAAUUAAAUUAUCCAUCAGAAUUUAAAUCAUUCAUCACCAUUAAAAUAAAGAGAAAACUUCAAAUAUCACUCCUAUGGUUUCACACUUUCUCACUUUAGUACCGUAUAAUUUAAAGUGUAUUAAUUUAGUGUCCCAUGAUUUCAUUUUUAUUAUUUUAUUAUCGAUUUCACUAAUUAUUUUUUAUUAAAUCAGUGACAAAGUUAAAACUAAUUAAAGAAUGCUAAAGUGAUUAUUCGAUAAACCUAGAUAGAGUAUCUGAAGUUUUUUGUAUAUAAUUUAACGAAAUGUUAACGGAGAAAUUGACGAAAAAAUAAAAAUAAAGACACAUGACACUAACUUGAUACUCUUUAAAUCACAAGAUACUAAAGUAAGAAAGGACGAAACCACAAGGGUGGUAUAUGAAGUUUACCUAAAAUAAAUAAGUAAAUAAAU
rnacentral:lncRNA from 1 species